GUAGCCGUGUAGAGUUUUUUUCAUAAAGAAAAAAACGCAGGACGCCGCCGCCGCUUGAAAAAAUCGCCAGCCAAAGGAAGGUGAAAAUUUAGCCAAAAGCAGACCCACGGGUGAGCAGCAGUUCGCACCCAAGCCUAACACAGACCUAGCCCCAACUAAUUCCACCUGCACGUGCUACCCGAUCCGCUCGCAGUGCCGCAGAAACGUGUCUGAAGAAGGGGGCCCCUCUGCGCGUCUACAGCAAAACAACAAGAAGAACAAGAACAAGAUGUCUGACAUUUCCAGCGAGGACCUGCGCCGCGAAGUGCAGGCGGUGCUGAAGGACGCCGAUUUGGCCACCAUCUCGGCCAAGCGGGUGCGCGAGCAGGUAGAGGGAAAACUCAAUUGCUCGCUGCUCGGCCGCAAGAAGGAGUUCGACAAGAUUGUCAUGGAGGUGAUAAACGAGCAGCAGGACGAAGAGGAAGAUGACGACGAUGACAAGGAUCCCGAUGCCGAUCCGGACGAUGAGAGCGAGCCAAGCGAGGAGGAGUCUCCCAGCAGCAGCGAGGAGGAGAAGGCCAAGAAGAAGCCGGUACAGAAAAAGCGGCCACAGCCGACCAAGCACAAGGCGCCUAAGAAGAAGCGCAAGACACUUAACGCCGACGACUCGGGCACCGAAAGCGAUGCAGGCUCCGAUUCCGACUACGAGGUGGUCAAGAAGCCGCCCGCGAAGAAGAAGACCAAGGCCGCCGGCGGCGGUAGUUCCGGCACGGGUGCCCCUCGCAAGAGCACCGGCUUCACCCGCGCCUACAAUCUCUCGCCCGAGCUGUCCGCCCUCAUGGGCGCCCCCUCGCUGCCCCGGCACGAGGUGGUAAAGAAAGUCUGGGCCAUCAUCAAGGAGCGGGAUCUGUACGAUCCGAAGAACAAGCAGUUUGCCAUCUGCGACGAGGAGCUGAUGAAGGUCAUGAAGAUCCGCCGAUUCCGCACCUUUGGCAUGCUGAAGCACCUCAAGCCGCAUUUCCUUGACUAAGCGUGAAGAGGAGGAGGAGGAGCACUCUCCACCCAGAUCCCAUCCAGAUGCAAACGUCAUGUCACCGCAAACCUUUCGGCUCUGUUCCAAUCUUUUAAGACUUACUUUUACGCGAUGUAGACAGCGACCAGGACAACCAACGACAGCGAGAACCAGGAAACGAUGGACUCCGACGAUAAUGACGCCCCAUUUGACUCCUUUGGGGAGCCACAGCCACAGUAGCAAUGUGUUUAGCAUUAAAACCUUAAUUAAGACGGAUCUACAGAACAAUUUUUAUGUAGUCUACGGCAUUUUAAUUAUACAUAAAAAAUUAUAUUUAAAAACAACUGCGACUAACAAAACGAAUUGUAACAACAACAACAAUACAUGAUGAAGAAGAAA
rnacentral:misc_RNA from 1 species